rnacentral:rRNA from 1 species
UACGUAGGGUGCGAGCGUUUAAUCGGAAUUACUGGGCGUAAAGCGUGCGCAGGCGGUUUUGUAAGUCAGAUGUGAAAUCCCCGGGCUUAACCUGGGAACUGCGUUUGAAACUACAAGGCUAGAGUGUGGCAGAGGGGGGUGGAAUUCCACGUGUAGCAGUGAAAUGCGUAGAGAUGUGGAGGAACACCGAUGGCGAAGGCAGCCCCCUGGGCUAACACUGACGCUCAUGCACGAAAGCGUGGGGAGCAAACAGG